rnacentral:rRNA from 1 species
ACGUAGGGUGCGAGCGUUAAUCGGAAUUACUGGGCGUAAAGCGUGCGCAGGCGGAUUGUUAAGCAAGACGUGAAAUCCCCGGGCUUAACCUGGGAACUGCGUUUGUGACUGCAUCACUCGAGUUCGGCAGAGGGAGGUGGAAUUCCACGUGUAGCAGUGAAAUGCGUAGAGAUGUGGAGGAACACCGAUGGCGAAGGCAGCCCCCUGGGCCGAUACUGACGCUCAUGCACGAAAGCGUGGGGAGCAAACAG